ensembl:lncRNA
CAGCAUUUCACUGUGAGGUCUACUACACCUGUUGUAUUCAGCAUUUCACUGUGAGGUCUACUACACCUGUUGUAUUCAGCAUUUCACUGUGAGGUCUACUACACCUGUUGUAUUCAGCAUUUCACGGUAAGGUCUACUACACCUGUUGUAUUCAGCAUUUCACUGUGAGGUCUACUACACCUGUUGUAUUCAGCAUUUCACUGUGAGGUCUACUACACCUGUUGUAUUUGGCGCAUGUGACAAAUAAAAAUUGUAUUUGAUUUGAAAACAAUAGGGCCUAAUUGAUGCUUACAACAAAGUGCAGCUCAUUGUCUAUAUAUCAAGUAUCAACUUUUUUUUAAUACGUUUUGUGCCAAAUGAAUU